rnacentral:rRNA from 1 species
AUACGGAGGGUGCAAGCGUUAUUCGGAAUCACUGGGCGUAAAGGACGCGUAGGCGGGUUGGCAAGUCAGAUGUGAAAUCCUACAGCUUAACUGUAGAACUGCAUUUGAAACUGCUAACCUAGAGUAUGGGAGGGGGAGAUGGAAUUAGUGGUGUAGGGGUAAAAUCCGUAGAUAUCACUAGGAAUACCGAAAGCGAAGGCGAUCUCCUGGAACAUAACUGACGCUAAGGCGUGAAAGCGUGGGGAGCAAACAGGAUUAGAAACCCAAGUAGUCC